rnacentral:rRNA from 1 species
GUACACGAGCGGCGAACGGGUGAGUAACACGUGGGUGAUCUGCCUCGCACUCUGGGAUAAGCCUGGGAAACUGGGUCUAAUACCGGAUAUGACCACGAAUCGCAUGGUUUGUGGUGGAAAGGUUUACUGGUGCGAGAUGGGCCCGCGGCCUAUCAGCUUGUUGGUGGGGUAACGGCCUACCAAGGCGACGACGGGUAGCCGGCCUGAGAGGGCGACCGGCCACACUGGGACUGAGACACGGCCCAGACUCCUACGGGAGGCAGCAGUGGGGAAUAUUGCACAAUGGGCGAAAGCCUGAUGCAGCGACGCCGCGUGAGGGAUGACGGCCUUCGGGUUGUAAACCUCUUUCGACAGGGACGAAGCGCAAGUGACGGUACCUGUAGAAGAAGCACCGGCCAACUACGUGCCAGCAGCCGCGGUAAUACGUAGGGUGCGAGCGUUGUCCGGAAUUACUGGGCGUAAAGAGCUUGUAGGCGGUCUGUCGCGUCGAUCGUGAAAACGUGCAGCUCAACUGCGCGCCUGCGGUCGAUACGGGCAGACUAGAGUACUUCAGGGGAGACUGGAAUUCCUGGUGUAGCGGUGAAAUGCGCAGAUAUCAGGAGGAACACCGGUGGCGAAGGCGGGUCUCUGGGAAGUAACUGACGCUGAGAAGCGAAAGCGUGGGUAGCGAACAGGAUUAGAUACCCUGGUAGUCCACGCCGUAAACGGUGGGUACUAGGUGUGGGUUUCCUUCCACGGGAUCCGUGCCGUAGCUAACGCAUUAAGUACCCCGCCUGGGGAGUACGGCCGCAAGGCUAAAACUCAAAGGAAUUGACGGGGGCCCGCACAAGCGGCGGAGCAUGUGGAUUAAUUCGAUGCAACGCGAAGAACCUUACCUGGGUUUGACAUACACCGGAAAGCCGUAGAGAUACGGCCCCCCUUGUGGUCGGUGUACAGGUGGUGCAUGGCUGUCGUCAGCUCGUGUCGUGAGAUGUUGGGUUAAGUCCCGCAACGAGCGCAACCCUUAUCUUAUGUUGCCAGCGCGUAAUGGCGGGGACUCGUGAGAGACUGCCGGGGUCAACUCGGAGGAAGGUGGGGACGACGUCAAGUCAUCAUGCCCCUUAUGUCCAGGGCUUCACACAUGCUACAAUGGCCGGUACAGAGGGCUGCGAUACCGCGAGGUGGAGCGAAUCCCUUAAAGCCGGUCUCAGUUCGGAUCGGGGUCUGCAACUCGACCCCGUGAAGUUGGAGUCGCUAGUAAUCGCAGAUCAGCAACGCUGCGGUGAAUACGUUCCCGGGCCUUGUACACACCGCCCGUCACGUCAUGAAAGUCGGUAACACCCGAAGCCGGUGGCCUAACCCUCUGGGAGGGAGCCGU